GGUCGGUUGGCCGAGCGGUUAGGCAGGGCUCUGCAAAAGCUCUUACAGCGGUUCAAAUCCGCUACCGACCUCCA
rnacentral:tRNA from 1 species